GGGAAGGUGGCUCAGUGGUAGAGUGUUUGCCUUGCAUGCAGGAGGCCCUGGGUUCAAUUCCUCAGCAUCACUG
rfam:Dipodomys ordii contig_54254, whole genome shotgun sequence.